UACGUAGGGUGCAAGCGUUGUCCGGAAUUAUUGGGCGUAAAGAGCGCGCAGGCGGCUUGGUAAGUCGGAUGGGAAAACCCGAGGCUCAACCUCGGGCGUGCAUCCGAAACUGCUCGGCUAGAGGUAGGUAGGGGAGAUCGGAAUUCCUGGUGUAGCGGUGAAAUGCGCAGAUAUCAGGAGGAACACCAAUGGCGAAGGCAGCACUCUGGGACGUGACUGAUGCUGAGACGCGAAAGCUUGGGGAGCAAACAGG
rnacentral:rRNA from 1 species